rnacentral:rRNA from 1 species
UAAUAGCGUAUAUAAAAAUUUGUUGCGGUAAAAAGCUCGUAGUUGGAUUUCUGCCGAGGACGACUGGUCCGCCCUCUGGGUGAGCAUCUAGUUCGGCCUGGGCAUCUUCUUGGAGAACGUAGCUGCACUUGACUGUGUGGUGCGGUAUCCAGGACUUUUACCUUGAGGAAAUUAGAAUGUUUCAAGCAGGCACACGCCUUGAAUACAUUAGCAUGGAAUAAUAAGAUAGGACCUCGGUUCUAUUUUGUUGGCUUCUAGAGCUGAGGUAAUGAUUAAUAGGGAUAGUUGGGGGCAUUCGUAUUUAACUGUCAGAGGUGAAACUCUCGGAUUUGUUAAAGACGGACUACUGCGAAACCAUUUGCCAAGGAUGUUUUCAUUGAUCAAGAACGAAAGUUAGGGGA